GCAUGUGUAGCUCAGUGGUAGAGUGCAUGCUUAGCGUACAUGAGUCCUGGGUUCAAUCCUCAGUAUACUCA
rnacentral:tRNA from 1 species